GUGAAUCCCCUUGAAUGCAUUGGGGGGCUUGAAUUGGAGUCGGUGUGUGGACAUGUAUUGCAGCUGCAAGACCAUAAAUUUACAGUUUGUUUUGUUAACUUUAUCAUAAGGACUCCAAAACUGUUAGAAACUUUUUUUUUUUUUAAAAAAAAAAAUGUUUAUGAUUGAACUUUUUUGAGAUGAUAUCUGGGAACUUUACAGAAUAUAAAAUGAGUUUUGUAGUCUGCUGUUGUUGCUUGAUUUUAUCAUUGGAUGUAAUUAAUGACGACUUUAGGUUAUCUUUGAAUGACUACUUUAGGUUAUCUUUGGAGCCACUUGGGCACCUCGCUCGGGUAUAUUCAAAGAGGAAUUGUCGAUCUGCAUCCAGGCGUUGGUCGGGGCCACUGGCUGCACUUUUAGGUAGUGGUGUAAUUAAAAAUGAAGACAGCGAAGUUUGAGAAUGCGCACUCUCUUUGGGCUUGGCUUCUUGAGUAAUUAUGCGUCCCGGAGAAUUUGAUGUGAAACUCGUUUCUGGAUAAUUUCUAAUAAAUAGGUGAAGGAAAUAGAGGGAUUGUGCAGUGGAGUUUGUUUAUCAAGCUAUCUUCUUUUAUUAUUUAUUAAUUUUUCUUUAACCCUUUUUCUCUAAAAGGAAAAAUAAAAAUUACCUUUUUUCAGAAUAAUAAUAAUAAUUAAAAAGAAAAAAAA
rnacentral:lncRNA from 1 species